rnacentral:tRNA from 1 species
AGGCCUGUAGUUCAAUUGGUAGAGCGCCGGUCUCCAAAACCGGAAGUUGGGGGUUCGAGUCCCUCCAGGCCUG